UAAGGGAAGCAAAAGCCACCUUGGAAUGGAAGGCGAGAUUAUUAACCUCAUUCUUCAAGAUGCACCUGGCCUUAAAAACAUUUAAUAUGUUGGGCAUGAAUCCAAGUGACAUUGAAGGAGACACACUUCCAGCCUCGUGAUCCCCAAUUUUCAGUCCUCUUCAAGUACCACAAUGGCUGGGUCUCUGAAGAAUAUUUGGCAAAGCAGGUGUUCGUUUCUGCAGAUUUACUUCCAAAAAAACAAAUGCAAAAGAAAAGAAGAGGGCUCAUGGAAAGUUCUUACUCAAGUGGAAGUAUCUCAAUUGGCUGGAUGGCACUGCCAUGUGGUCAGUGUGUCAGUGAAGCCACACCAAUGGCAUUGAAUAGCUGCCGAUAUGUAAAGCCCACCUUGAAUCCCCUUCAGGGAAAGAAAUAUCUUAAAUAAAUAAGUAAUAAAUAAGCCCCAUCUGAACAAA